UCCGAGUUGACCCCGGCAGUCUCCUACGAGUCCCCGCCAUUACGCGCUGGCAACAUAGGACAAGGGUUGCGCUCGUUGCGGGACUUAACCCAACAUCUCACGACACGAGCUGACGACAACCAUGCACCACCUGUAAGCCGGCCACAAGUGGCUGACACAUCUCUGCGCCAUUCCGUUUCAUGUCAAGCCUUGGUAAGGUUCUUCGCGUUGCAUCGAAUUAAGCCACAUGCUCCGCUGCUUGUGCGGGCCCCCGUCAAUUCCUUUGAGUUUUAGCCUUGCGGCCGUACUCCCCAGGCGGGGUGCUUAAUGCGUUAGCUGCGGCACAGACGGCGUGGAAUACCGCCUACACCUAGCACCCACCGUUUACGGCGUGGACUAC
rnacentral:misc_RNA from 1 species